AUACGGAGGGUGCAAGCGUUACUCGGAAUCACUGGGCGUAAAGCGCGCGCAGGCGGCUUGGUAAGUUGGAUGUGAAAGCCUACGGCUCAACCGUAGAACUGCAUCCAAAACUGUCAAGCUUGAGUGUGGGAGAGGAAGAUGGAAUUAGUUGUGUAGGGGUAAAAUCCGUAGAGAUAACUAGGAAUACCAAAAGCGAAGGCAAUCUUCUGGAACACUACUGACGCUGAGGCGCGAAAGCGUGGGGAGCAAACAGGAUUAGAAACCCUAGUAGUCC
rnacentral:rRNA from 1 species